GAAACAGGCAGUGCAAAGGCCUAGAGGCUGGAGGAUGCUUGGCUGUGCACCAGGAACAGCAAGGAAGCUAGCAUGGCCGGAGUAGGGGGUGCAGGGGACCUUGCCGGUUUCCCACCACUGUCUGAUAAGGCUGGUACAGCCUAUACUGAAGAGCAUGAAACAGCCACCAUGCAAGGAGAAUGAUGACUGGCCAUGGAGGAGGAGUGGAACUGGCAAGGACACUGAGAGGCAGGAAGCUAAUAGGGAAACAAGGAGACGUGGAAUCCUACAAGCCAAGUGAAAAAAUACCUUUUUCUGGGAGGAAAGCGUAAUCCACUAUGUGAAAUGCUGCUUAACAAACGCUUGUUGAAUGAAUACUGGGAGACAGAUGAAGGCCCCAGUGUUCCUCUCCCUGAUGCUAUU